rnacentral:miRNA from 1 species
GUAGUGUAUUACAAUACAAAGU